GAAGGAAAUUUUUUCAAAAAAAAAUUUCCUUUCUAUAGUAACGGUCUGCCCAUAUCAAAAAAGAACGAACAACACCUAAUUGACUUCUGUUUAAGCUCAAUAGAAAACAAGUAGUUAAUGCGACCAAGAAAGUAGUGCAGCAGAACUAUAUGUAUACUUUCAAACGUGGAUGACUUGAAGAAAAAGAUGAUGUUAAAAAAAACUUGAAAUGAUGAUAUUCAAUGUUAGCUUACAUCAAUGGAACAUAAUCUUAAACGUGUACGAAAAAAAAACAUCAGUAUUAUUACGCAUUAGGCCAAAGAAAAAUUUGUGUCCAUGUACCUAUGUACAAUAAAUUGAAUAUAAAUAAGGUGUAAUUUUGUAGCAGAGAUGCUGAAAAGUUCACAUAUAAGUCAACCGAAGGGAAAUAAAAGUAUUUUUUGUAUAUAUUUAGCAAUUUAUUGAAUAGCAUUUUAUGCCACCGCUGAAUUUUUUACGUCGAUAACUCAAGAGGAAACAAUGGAUACAAUAUGUGGCCUUAAAAAGGCAUACUAUUUUUGCAAAAAAAUGGUUCGCAAAUUAUCAUAGAAUCAAAGCGUUUGAAACAAAAAUAUUAUUAUGUAAAUAAUAAAAAACAAUAUUUCAAUACAAGUCUUUCAAAAGUAUUCUGGAAUUAACGGAUGCAAUUUGGUAAAACUUGGUUUAGACUAAUAAGUAGGGCACACCGUUCGGACCAUCGACAGAAUAACGUUCGUGUUUUUCAGAUUUCAAGACAUAGAUUUGCUGAUGAAUAACAUCGCAAAGAUCUUGGUGUAUUGUCUUCAUACAUGGCCACAACAACCCUUCAAAUAGACCAGACUAAACUUAAUUAACUUGACCACCAUAUUAACAUUCAAGAAGUUCGGCCUACAUGUCAGAUUUAUGAAUGUGAACAGCAGGAUAUCGAUUUUAAGGAUGCUUUAGGGUCAAUGACAAUGAAAUCAUGAGAGAUAAAGGCUAAAAUGUGAGACUGUCAAUCUGACUAACCUUGAAGUGAAUAAAUGGAAAAAUGUUUCUUUCAAUAGCAUGGGCAUUUAAGGAAGAGGAAACAGAGGCGCUUAUGUGAUAGAACAGAUAAAGCAGGAGCGAUAAGGAAAGAUACAUGUAGAUGUUUCUUCAUGUCGGAAACACUUAAGAAAUAGAAAAAAAUUGUGGUUUUAUAAAACUUAAAAGAAAUUGGAAUACCAGGAGACUGCCUGCCCUUUGCAAUGUUGGAUAAUGAGUUCUUAGAUGUGAUGUCGAAAGUCUCAUGAAUAUAGUACCAUGACUUAAUCUAAUUAGAAAAAGAAAUGACAUUGAGGAGAAAACUAGUCACCAGUCUUUCACCAAUAACUAGAGAUAACUUUCCAAUAUUUGAAAUAUCAUAAUAUGUAUAGAACUUUAAUGAGCCACCAGUUUUUCACCAGGAAAAUAAGAUCACUUAACUAUUUUUAGCUCACCUGUCACAAAGUUACAGGGUGAGCUUUUUUGAUCGCUUUUCGUCCGGCGUCCGUCCGUAAACUUUUACUUUAAAUGAAAUCUCCUCAUAAACCACUAAGCCAAUUUCAUCCAAACUUUACAGGAAUGUUCCUUUGGUGGUCACCUUUAAAUACUGUUCAUAGAAUUUAAUUUCAUGCAGAAAGCUGGUUGCCAUGGCAACCAAAAGAAAAUGACAUAAAGUAUCUUCUUUUAAAGAACUCAAAGAGCUAGAGCUUAGACAAAGUAUCUUCUUUUAAAGAACCCAAAGAGCUAGAGCUUAGACAUUUAUCAUGAAACAUCUUCUAGUGAGUGUCUACCAAGUUUGUUCAAAUAAAAGCCCUGGGGUCAAAAUUGGCCCGGCCCAAAGGGGUCAUUGAUUUUCUCUAAAUGCAUAUAGUAAAAACUUAAAAAACUUCUUUUAAAGAACCAAAAUAGCUAGAGUUUAGAUAUUAAGCAUGAAACAUCUUCUGGUAAGUGUCUACAAAGUUUGUUCAAAUAAAAGCCCCGAGGUCAAAAUUGGCCCCGCACCGGGGGUCAUUGAUUUUCCUUAUAUGUGUAUAGCAAAAACUUAAAAACCUUCUUUGAAAAAACCCAAAUAGCUAGAGUUUAGAUAUUAAGCAUGAAACAUCUUCUGGUAAGUGUGUACAAAGUUUGUUCAAAUAAAAGCCCUGGGGUCAAAACUGGCCCCGCCCCAGGGGUUUCAUUGUUUUUAACUAUAUGUGUAUAGUAAAAACUUAAAAAAUCUUCUUUUAAAAAACCCAAUGAGCUAGAGCCUAGAUGUUUAGCAUGAAACAUCUUCUUAUGGUUUCUACCAAGUUUGGUCAAAUUUAAGCCCUUGGAUAAAAAUUGGCCAUGCCGGGGGUGGGUGGUGGUGCAGAGGUUUUUGUUUUACAUUAUAUUUGUGUAGUAAAAACUUAACAUCAUGAAACAUCUUCUAAUGGGUGUCAUACAAGUUUGUUCAAAUAAAAGCCUUGGGGUUUAAACUGGCCCCGCUCCAGGGGCCUAUAUACACAUGGCCCUCUUGUUGAAAUAUGUAUGAACAAAUUUUUAUCAACUUCAAGGUUUUAUUGAAGGAAUUUGAAGUAAC